AUCACUUCUCAGCCUUUUGGCUAAGAUCAAGUGUAGUAUCAAGUGUAGAAUUUAAGUAAAUGAAACCAGCCCUC